rnacentral:lncRNA from 1 species
UAUCAUCUAACAUUCAUAAAACCUUACAAAUUUUAGUUCAUGGUCUAAUUUUAUAUGCUGGACGUAUCUUUACUAUGUCACUUUUUUUAUUUAAAUUCAAUUACCCAGAUAUUCGAGGCAAAGAGCGAUGAAAACACAAAGUAAUGCGUAAAGAUAUGCUAAUAUAACACAGUAACAUCAAUUGUUUCUUGUUUUUUUUUUUUUUUCAAUGAAUUCAACUACAUAAAGAGAAAAUGAAAGAUGAUACUUACAGUUGGGAGUCUCAGAUUCAGUGGCUUUUCCCAUGGCCACAUAUUCUUCAUAGGUGCAGCAUUUAUGAUAUUUGCAUUUAUGGUAACAUCCUUUAUGAUAGCCACCCUUUUUAUAGCCACCUUUGCCACCAUAGUAAUGGUCAAGAUCUACUUCUUUCUCCGCUGCAUCGAUGAAUUGAGAAUAGUAAAUCUAAUGCAUAUGCACUGACUGAUCGUUGAAGUGAAAUUUCUCUUAUUAUAAAUUAUGGCUGUCAAGUGGGCCGGGCCAACCUGGCCCUACUCGGCCCACUUAAAUAAAUCAGCCCAGUAAGCCCUAUGGCUUUAGGGUUUCAGGUCCCGGGCCGGUUAUUUUUUUAAUUUGGGCCUGGUUAACCCGACUCGGACCUAGCUCGGUCCAGGCCCGUCGGUUAACCGACCCCGCCCAGCCCGGAGUCUUUUUAUUUUUUUAAAUAAUUAUUUUUUUGUAUAAAUUAGUAUAUAACUAUACAAAUAUAUAUUCUAAUGUGUGUGUGUGUAUAUAUAUAUAUAUAUUAUAAUAUAUUUCAUUUAAUGUAUUACAUAUACAUAGAGUAGAGUGUAUAUAUGUGAAUAGAUCUUCUAUAGAAGUGUAUAUUUAACGUAUACAUGUUUAUAUAUUUUAUAAAUUAGUGUAUAACUAUACAAAUAUAUAUUGUAAUGUAUAUAUAUUGUAGUAUAUCUCAUUUAAAGUAUUACAUAUACAUAGAAUAGAGUGUAUAUAUGUGAAUAGAUCUUCUAUAGACGUAUAUAUUUAACGUAUACAUGUGUAUAUAUAUAUAAUUAUAUAUGUAUAUAUUGUAGUAUAUUUUAUUUAAACUUUAAAGUUUAAAGUAGUACAUAUAUAUUUGGAUGGUGCGUAUAUAUGUGUAAUUGUGUAUAUGUGUAUAUAUUUUUUAAAUUUUAAUGUAGUAUAUACUAUAUAUAUAGUGUAUAUAUAUUGUUUAACGUAUUUGUAAUGUAUAUAGGUGGGUAUAUAUAAUGUAUAUUGAAAUUUUUUUAUUUUUGACCGGGUUUGAUCGAUUUUUUAAUCGGGUUUGACAGGGUUUAGGUGGGUUUGACCGGGUUGGGUUAAGUGGGUCCGGUUAGGGUGGUUUUUGAUUUUUUUACUGUUGGGCCCAGCCCAGACUGGCCCACUUAGACCCCAACCCGGAACGGCCCUCAACCCGGUUAAAUAACAUGGGCCGGUUCCGGGUUGGCCUGACCCGGCCCACUUGACAGCCAUACUAUAAAUAUAUUCAUAUAAAUUUUUAGUUUCAAUCUGGCAUGUUUAAGUUCACAUGAUUCAAAGGAUAUUUUAGCACGUUUUACACACUUUUAGUUUAUAUUCUUCAAAUUCAUGCAUAGUGACUGAGACGUAUAAAAUGAAGCAUAAGGAAGGUAAACUAAAUGUCAUGAUCAAGCUAGUGUUAGUAAAACAUUAGGUUAUCGUCUAACGUUCAUAAAAUCUUACAAAUUUUAGUUCAUGGUCUAAUUUUAUAUGCUGGGCGUAUUUUUAAUAUGUCACUUUUUUUUUUUAUUUAAAGUCAAUUACCCACAGAUUCUAGAGAAAAAGCAAUAAAAAUGCAUAAAGUAAAGCAUAAAGACAUGCUAAUACGCCUAACAUAGUAAAAUAAGUAAUGCCUAAAGAUAUGCUAAUAUGCCUUUCUUUUUUUUUUUUUCUUCGAAUGAAUUCAAUUACAUAAAAAGAUAAAUGAAAGAUAAUACUUACAGUUGGGAGUCUCACUCAACUCCCUAGCUAUUACUUCGGAGCUUAUCAUUAAGAAAAUAGCCAAAAAUAGGCCAAGCAAUAGAAAUGUUUUGGAACCCAUUCUUUUGUUUUUUUCAAAGCUUAGUACUUAUGAUAAUUGAAAAUUGAGGGAUGAAGAAACUGAUACAUUCUUGGGCUCUAUUUAUAGGAAGAUUUAUAUGCAUAAAUAAUUGAAGAGAGGUGUAAAACUAGGAGGUGGGAGGGACAUGUAUUGGGAUGCAAUUAUUGUUGUGGACCAAAGAAACUUAACAACUUGGGUCUACAAGUGAGAGUUAAAGUCUUAAAGAGAAUGCUAGAUUUAACUUAUUCCGUAAUUUUUAAAUAACAGCACUAACAAGUUUAGUUAUUAUGGUAGUGAAGUUGUAACAAUACUAUUUUAAUGAAAUAUUUAAGUUUAUGCUUUGCAUGUGAAGCCUCAUUUGUUAGGCAUUGUUUUAUUCUAUGAAACUUUUUGGCCUGCAUCAAAUUUAAUUUAAAUCUAAUACCAAUAUAUUAUACGCGAAAACUAGACAUCGAGUGGAAAAUAAAAUAAAAUGAAAAAGCAAGUCAUCCAAGCAAAAUGUAGAUGUUGCAAGUAUUUACAAUGUUCCAACAACAAAAAAAAUGAACCUAACGAAUAUUUUGCUGAAUAUUUUGGCAAUUGGAAUGUUGUUCGAUCUCGUGACAGAUUCAGAAUUAUGCCGAAUCCUUUUAUAGCCAAGUAUAUAUUAUGACUUAAUAAAAGUGCAUUUUGUAUGAAGAAAGAUGUUUUUCCAUGAAAUACAUUUUCUUAGAAAAUGUUUGCUUGAAAUAUAAGUGAUUUAUUUUAGGUUAGUUUUUGAUAAAUAAGUGAAGAAUGUUAUAAUCUCAAAAAUAUUUAAAUUUAAUUUCACGAUAAAAUGGGUUGGAGAAUGGGGGCGGAAGGGCUAAAAUACUCAAAAGAUAAAGGGUUGUGGAUGUUGGAAAUCUUCCUUUUGAAAUAAUCGAUCAGUUUUUUUUUUUUCAUUUUCCUAAAUUUCUUAUCUUGUUUUAAAUUAUAUUUUUCGUUCAUUUUUAUUUGUUAAUUGUUAUAGUUCAUUUUAUGAAAGUCAAUCAAAUGAAUUUCAAAGUUAAAUUAAAGUAGAUUAAUUUAUUAUUUUAAAUUAAAUUUAGAUAUUUAAAAAUUAUAUAAAAAUAUAAGUUACUAUAUAAUCCUUCUCAUUAGUAUUAUAUAUAAGAGACAAAUCAAGGAAUUUGGUAGUUCCCACAAAAAUUUUCAAUUAAAUUUCAAUCUUUUCAAUUAAUUACUUUUUUGUCAUGAUCUUAUCUUUGAAAUCAAAUUUACUUUUUGUCUUUAGAGUUUACUUUUAGAAGUUCUUUUACCUGAUCAUUUUGAACGUGUUUUUUAUUUUUCAAUUCUUUAUUUUCUGAAUUUAUAGACAUUCAUUGACAUGAAUUACUAUUCAGAAGCCAUGUUUAAUUCUUUAUGCAUAAAGUGGAUCAUCAUUUUUCUUUUAGAAAAAACCUGACUUAGUAAACAUAAACACCUAAUUAAUUUAUUCAGACUAAGUUUUAAUUAAUUAUAAUUCAUAGUCUAAUUUAACUGUACUGCAUCCUCUCCCUUGCUAAUACUCUCCUUCCAUCUCUCCCAAUCUCGUUGUAUAUCACUAUAUUUGUAUCAAUUAUAUUCGUUUCUUAUAAUCAGCUACAUAUGAUUGUAUUUUUAUAUUUUCUUGAAUUUAUAUUUAUAUGGUCCUAUAUUAUAUAUAGUUUAAUCACAACAUUUGUAUAUAAUAAAAUCAAAGUAUCAGAUUUUUGUUCAUUUUAUAUUUGCUAAUACAAAUACGAUGGAUGACAGUUUAUAUAAAUACAAUAGCUACACCGGCUACGACUUGUAAUUUUUUAAACCAUAGUUAUGCAUGCCUAAUUUUUCCUAUAUAUAUGCUGUUUUGAAAGUUUUCCUUUUUAAAAAAAAUAAAUUCUAUACGAACUUUUGUGAUUGAUUUAUAUAAUAACUGUUUAUGAAUCUCUUUAUACUCUUUAUUGAAUUAUUUUUUAAUUCUUCAUCUCAAAAUAUUUAAUAUUAUUUUUCACUUUUUGAGGAUCAACUUACAUAAAUUUUUAUCAAUAUUUUGAAAUUAUUUUCACUAUAUUAAUGGGAGAAUUGAUAUUUAUAAUACUUUUCAUAUAAUUUUUUAAUAUUUAAAUUUUAAUUUAAAAUAUUAUUUAAUCUAACUCAAUUUAACUUUAAAGAUUAUGCAAAUAUCUUUCAAAAAAACAUGCGGUGAGAUGAAAAAAGUAUAUUAUUUAAUCUUCAUCGAGUUGUAAAUAUUUUACAUGCUUCAAAGUUUAAAUCAUAUUAUUUUAUAAAAUAUUAAAUUACUUGUAUGUCGUUUUAGGAUAAUCCUUUCCCAUUGUUGAACUACCACAUGAAAAAAACUCAUCAAAUUAAGAAGAGUAUAUUAAGAAUCCAUUUACAAUUAAUCUUUUACCCCAAAAGCCAUAUGUUUCCUCAACUAUUAUAUAUACUUCCCCAAGGAAUUUUUCGCAAACAAUACUCCUAACUCACACCCCAAAAGCUAGCUCAUGAAAAAGAGGAUUGCUCAGCUCAAACCUAAUAAGGAGAGCAAGGACCUAUAAUCCCACCGAUGUGGGAUACCAACACACCCUCGGCACGCCCAAGAUUGGACAACUGGAAAAUAGACAAUAUAAAAUGGAGGGUCCAACAUUGGAAACAAAUGAAUUGGGUGGGCCUGGCUCUAAUACCAUGUUAAAAUUAGUCUUGAACCAAACUCACACCCUAAAAGCUAACUCAUGAGGAGAAGAAUUGCCUAUGCCUUAUAAGGUGGCCAAGAACGUUAUAACCCGCCGAUGUGGGACACCACCAAUAAUAAAUAUGUUGAUGUUGUUGUUAGUAGGUUUAAGUAUACUUAAGAGGGAGAGUGUAAAUCAUGAUCAAUUUUUUUUAUUAGAAAGAUCUCAUUACUUAUUUUAAGUGUCAUUAGCGUAAGGGGGAUUAAUUAAUUAAUAUGGUUUAAUUACGUCUCGACUUGUAAAACAAGAAAAAGACUUGUAUGAAACUGAAAAUUUUAAAUAUAUGUGUACAUGAAUUUCUUGUGUCAAAUAAAAUGUAUACUCCCUACGUCCCAAAUUAGCAGCUCCAAAUUGAGAUGACACAUUGAUUAAGAAAAAUAAUUAAUAAAAUGGCUAGUUUACUAUAAUACCCCUAUUAAAUGAUAUUUACAUUUUAAUUUGAAAAAAAAUAAUUACUGCAAAAGGUAAAAUAAGAAAAAAAUUUCUGUUAUUUCUUGAUUAAUGAAAAAAAAAGUAAAAUGAGAAAUUAAAUUAGAAAAUUUGAGACGGAGAAAGUAUUUUAUAUGCAUGAAUUUGUAGUGAGAGGCGCAUUUCUUCUACUAGUAUUAAUAUAAAAACAAAUACUCCUCCUGUUUCAUAUUAUUUGGCUCCUAUGAAUUUGACCCUCUCAUUAAGAAAAUAUUAAUUAAGAGGUUUAUUUUAUCAAAUUAGCUUUACUAAUUAUAUUUUGAAAAUAUAAAUUUGAGUAAAUACACUUUAUUUAGUCAUUUAAUGUUAAGGGUAGUAUUGGAAGAACAUAAUAAAAUUCUUUUGAUUUCAUCAAAGAAACAACUAAAUUAAAAUAAAUAUUUUUUAAAAAAAGGCCAACUAAAAUGAAACGGAAAAAUUAAUAGUAGGAUAUCUUAAAUUAUUAAUCAAACUUUAUUUAAUCCGUAAUCAAACACCGUCAAAAUAGAUUUCAAACCACGUGCAUGGGUUGGUGGCCCAGAAAUUAAUGCAUGUAGAAAAUGUCAAACGGUCACUUAUCAGUUUACUUAUCCAAGACUCUUCCAACUUGCCCUGCUGCCACGCAAAAGAAAAAAAUCAUUAAAAAUAUUAUCCUUCUUACCAAACAGAAAUUGUGGGGAUAUUGAGAAAAAAUGAGUUUUCUAAUAAAAAUAGAAAAUAGAUUGUAUAAAUAGAUUUUCAUAGUACAUAGCUUCUUUUAGUGGCGGAUCCAUGAAAAUCACACUUCAAACCAUUGCAUCUAAUCAUGUGUUUGUUCAUUAGGUGUAUUUUAAUAUUUUAUAUCAUUUAUUCUAUAUUUUUUAUAUAAUUACAUCUAAUCUACGUCUAGUUUAGUGAGCAUUGAAGUAUUCGAAAAAUACACAUGGAUCCGCCCCUGACUUCUUUUCACCUUUUGACAGACCUCAUCUUCACUCUCCGAACUUAACUCCAACCCCCCGCCACCCCCUUUCUCACCAAUCCAUACACUUACCGCACCCACUCCCUCAUCUCACUUAUGGACGAAGCCACCUUAGACAAAGAACAGUUUGGUACACACUAUAUAUUCAUCAAAAAUUUAUUAUGUUCAUAUUCUAAUGAGGUUAAAUGUUAAUUAUUAUGAAUGUACAAUUAAAAAAAACUUUAUAUACUCUUCAUCAAUAUAAUAUUUUCAAUUAUAUAUUGAGUUAAAAAAAAUAAGUGUGCGUAUAUUUCUUUCGGAUCCAAUACACCCAAUAUCAUAUACAAUCAAUGUUGAUAUAUAAUUAGAUAUGAAAAAAAAUACAAGUAGCAUAUUUAAGUAUUAAAUUAUAAAAAAUAGUAAUACUUUUAUUAAAUUAUAUUUUGUAGCAUAUUUAUUUAUAUUUUUGUAGCAAUAAUUUGCAAAAAUACAAAAUAUAUAUCGAUUAUAAGGGCAGUAAAAAUCACAUAUAUUUGUAUUUUUGUAGCAACAGUUUGCAAAAAUAUAAAAUACAACUUGAUAUAUUAUGUAAUUAUGAAACUAUUGCUAUGAAACUCAAAAUUAAGGGGAUAAGUAUGCUAUUUCUGAAUUUUUCCCAUUAGAUAUUGUACAUAUACUAAUAAGAAGGACAUGAACUAGCCAUUUUAAAAAAAAAUGGCCCAUGGUUUAAAAAUGUGGACAAUUGCAGCUGGUCGGUCCAAUUUAAUUUUCUUUUUUAGUCAUUUGGCCCAAUUGGGCACAUGCAGUCUCUAUACUCAAUUGAUACACUUUUAUACCACAUUGAGAUACUUUUAUACUAUAUUGAUACACUUUUUUAAAAAGAGAAAGGAAAUUCUAUGCAAGCACCUGCAGUCCCUAUACCCAAUUGAUACUCUUUUAUACCACAUUAAUAUACUUUUAUACUAAAUUGAUACACUUGCAGUGUCCAUAUACUCAAAUUGAUACUCUCUUAUACUAGAUUGAUACAUUUUUAGAAUGCAUGUCGAAACUAUCUAGAGAGAGUCGUAUAAAAUAUGUAUCUAAAUAAUAACUGUAGUUAAAAAUUGUAUAGAAUGUGUAUAAAAAUGCUAUAAUUAAUGUAUAGAAUAUGUAUAUAUAUAGAAACUGUAUCAUUAUUAUAUAUAAAUAUAUAUCUUUAACAAUUGUAUUAUAUUAAAAGUAUAUGGUAUUGUAUUUUAUUGUAUAAAUAAGUAAAACUAAACAAAACAAAUAGUAUAUUAUUUUAAUAAUGUUGGUGAAUGCAAACUAAUAUAAAAAAAAUUGUUUAAAAAGAAUAAAAAAGAGUAGAAUAAGAAAAGGAGCCAAAAAAAGCAUCAACAAAAAUUUUAAAAAAAGAAAAGAAAAGAAAAAGGAAGGUAAGAACUUGACCUAGAAAAAUUAAACCAGUGAAUAUCUAAACAUUGUCCACCAAAAGAAGGUUAGAAAUUGGGGUAUCUAUUUCUAAACCAUUCGGUUGGAAUUACUUUCCACCGAGUGGUUAUUUAUCGGAUUUUAAAAUUUAGGUGUUAAUUUUAUGAAAUUAUUUUAGUUUUAGGUGUUAUUUUUGUCCUUUUUCUUCUUUUUUUUAAAGAAAAAUUAGCCCAACUAAAAUUUACAUAUAUACACUAAAUAAAAUUGCUUUAUUACAUAAUAUACCAAUUUGGUAAAGUAUUUACACAUAUCCCAAAAUAUUUACAUAAAUUCCUUUAUUUUCAACUUUCUCUUUCUUAAACAUUAUACAUCUCUCAACAGAUUUUCUCUUCCGUAUUUUACUCCUCCAUAUCCUCCCACAACACCCGAUUUUUACUCCAUAAUUGAACCCCCUUAUUCUCGGCAAAAUUGAAGAAUCGUGUAUCUAGGGGUUUCAACUAGUAAGUUAGAAGAUUUUUCUUUUCUUUUUUUAACUUUUUCAAUUUUUGAAGUUGAUCGUAUAUUGGGAUUGUUGCAUGUUUGUUUUACCUUACUUUGCAAGUAUUUUCAAGUUUCGUAGUUCGAUUUUUAUGUUUUCUUCAUAUAAUACUCUUGGUUUGUAGCUUUUUUUUUUUUUUUUUAAAUUUACCUAUUUUUGUAUUUUUCAAUUUAUUUUAUGAAUGUAUGUUUGUUUAUAAGGAUUUACCACAUUUUUGCAAGUAUUUUUAAGUUUUGUAGUUGAUUCGGAUCGAAUGUAUUACUGAAAAAAAUUGGUAAUAGAUUCUUGUCCUAACUUUAGUUUAGGACUUAGUCAGUUAGAUUCUAAAAAACAAGAUAUACCCGUUGGGUUUGUUCCUGGUACAUUUGAUUUAGAAGAACCCAAUUUCACAGAGAAUCGUUCAAAGCAUCGAAACGAUCCGACAACAAUGAAGAGAUUGAAGGAAACGACCACUUCCAUAUCAAAGAAAUCAAGUUCAAAAACGGCCAGUAAGAAGAAGUUUGAUGAUUCCCGUAGACCACGUCUUUCGAAGAUAUUGAUUAAACAUUGUACUUUACUUACGUUGCAACAUUAUUGUCUAAUAUAGUGGAACAUAGAAUUUUGUGCAACACUAAUGUAUAAUAUUACUAAUAUGUUAUACAUUUCAUUUUUUUUAUACAUUGAAUAUUCUUAUUACAUAUUAGAAGCAUUUGGAACUGGGUGUGUUAUUAUACAUUUAUGAAGUCUUCCUUUUGUAUAAGGUUUUAUUAUACAGUCUGACAACAUUGUAUGUCAUAUAUGUUUAAGGUGAAAUGUUUAGUCUGACAUUAUAUAUUGCAUAUAUUUGAUUACUAAUGUAUAAUUUUAUUACAUAAAUUUUAUUAUACAUUGCUUUUCAUACUAUAUUAUACAUAACAAGUAUUGUAUGGUUUAGUUGAUAUUAUACAUUUAGGGAGUUAUACAUUUCAUUUUUUUAUACAUUGGAUGUUCUUAUUACAUAUAAGAAGCAUUUGGAACUGAGUGUGUUAUUAUACAUUUAUGAAGUCUUCCUUUUGUAUAAUGUUUUAUCAUACAUUCUGACAUUUAGGGAGUUUUCAUACUGUAUAAAGUGACAUUAUACAUCUGAAUAGCUGAUAUGUCAUACAUUUUUGUAAGGUGAACUAGUUUAGUACGCAACAGUAUACAUUAUUGCAUCUCAAACAUUUGUAACUUUUUGUGUAAUUAUUGUAUUAUUUUAUUAUUUUAGGGCAUGAAAUACCGUAUAAAUAAAGUCCCGGAGCACCCUUUGCAUAUUUUGAGCUCAUGCAAUCGUGAUUUUGCUGAAGACAUAAAGUCUUAUUUUGGAGAUGAUAUUUUUAGGACAUUUAGAAAUACGUUAUUUGGGAUUUGCUUGACCUUCCGUAGUGCAAUUGGAUUAGGUAGAUUUCAAAAUGUAUCCUUAUGCUAGAAAUCCAAUAAUAUAUUAAGGACGAGAUACAUGUGUGUGUGCAGGGGAAGAUUUUAAAAUUUAUCAUGAAUUUGUCAUUAUCAGCGGCCUGACUGCACCGAUGAUAUUGAUGAGUUUAUGUAUACUUCAUCAUCAAAAUCCCCUUUGAUUUUAAAGUAUUUUUCUAAAUCUGGAGGUGAUAUAACUAGGUCAAAACUGAUAACACGUGUGAAGAUAGGAAAUUUCAAGAACUCUGAAUAUGCUUUGAACUUUGCGAUAUUAUAGUUUGUUCAUACAUUCAUGUUAUCUCAGCAUAAAGAAGCACCAAUUAGUGUAGCUCACUUUCAAAUGAACGAGGAUGGUCGGUACAUACACUUUUCAUGGGGAAAGAUAAUUUUUAAAAAGUUGAUCAACUCAUGGCGGCAAGAGUUUAGAGUCGUAAAGCAGUUAUAUUCUUUGGGUGGAAUGCCCCACGCUCUAAAUGGCUGGAUAUUUGAGUGUUGCUCUUCAGUUGAUAAAAAAAUUGCUUUGCGACAUGAAAACAUCAUCCCAAGAACACUUAACUGGUCUAUGGAGUGUACAAGGUCUAAGUAUAAAUCUUAAGUAAGGUAAUUAUAUAACAUAUUAAAUAUUUUUAUUUUAUACUCAACUUAUCGAAGUUUUAAUAUUUCAUUUUAAAAAUAAUUUUUGCAGUGUUCUUUCAAGAAUUUACAACCUACAAGUGAAGAAGUUCGUACUUUAGAUUUGUCUUUCUCUGAGGAUUUUGUGAUUUUUGAUCCAAUAUCUGCUGCUUCCACUUCUGUUGCUGCAACAAUGCAAACAUCAGGCGAUGAAGAUCAAUCGCGUGUUGUCACUGCAGAUGACGAUUAUGAUGAUUUCCCCACUGGACCUACUCAGGAAUUUCUAUAAAAGGCUCAUUUGGCUACACCUUUAUCAACUAAACAGCCAUCCAAAAGAAGUAAAACAGUUAUGUUUCAGGAAGUUAGUUCAGCUGUGACAAAUGCACAAAAAUCAACAAGUUCUCAUUCAGUACGUCACGUGUCUGGUAUGUUUUCUAAAAUACAAUAACAAUUAAUAGAUAAGCUACAAAUUCGUGUGUCUGAUUUUGAUCAUCGUCAUCAAGUAGAAAUUGGUGUGUCUCCUGAGUGCAAACAAAUCAAGUCUGUUCCUUCAUCUUCCACAACGCCUGAAGGAACUUCUAAGUCUAAUUUAGAUAUGGAGCAGAUAAAGAGUUACAUCAAAAUAUAUGUAAGUUAAUUUUCUCAUUCACAAAUUAUUAUUUUUGAAAAGUAUUACUUGUUUCUAAUAUCUUAUUGUUUAUCUGUACGUUAUAAGGUUGAUAAGCAAAUUGCUGAGCUGAAAACACUAAUCUCCAAUAUACCUGCUGAGGUCGUUAAAGCAUUGAAGAAAGAAGAGAAUAAAGAAUCUCCGGUAUAAAAUAAUUUUCCUUCAAAUUUUUAAUACUUUGAAUAAAUACUCAUACAUUAGAAUUAUUCAUGAUAUAUAGGAGGAGAAAAUUGUUCAUCAACGAGAAGGUGUACAGGGAGGCUAAAAAAUAAAUGACAGUAUUAAUAAGAAUGAGUUGCGGGCAAUUUUAAUCUACAUUACAUUGUCAUGUUACUAUUAAUCUGUAUAACUCCAACAUCUUAACCUUUUUUUGUUUGGUUCUUAUACAGCAUGAAGAUGAGUACACCAGACCAGUCAUUCACAUAACAAAUGAUGAACCAUCAGUAAUUGAAACUUUGGAAACAGAUCCAAGAUUGUGUCCACAUUCAUACUGAAUGUCCAACAAUAACUGAGGUUCAAUUCAAACAGAAAGUAUAUAUAUGAUAUGUAUAAAUAUGGUUAUACAUUCACAACCAUGCAUAAUAGUUAUCAAAUUAUAAAAAAAAUAUUUUCAUUCAUCAAUAUAUAAAUUGAAUUAAAUGUAUAGACAUCCUAUUGUCAAUUUUUUGUAGGAUGAGCACAUGAAUGAUAAAGAAGAGGGACAUGAAGAAGAAUCGCAAAACACUCACAGUAAUAAUAUGAAAGAUAUAUCGAUACAUUUUUGUCUCUCAUGUUGGUUUGUUCUUAGAUGAGAUGAAUCUCAAUAUUUUAAAACGCUUUACUUGUAGGCUGUUACAGUAUUAUUAUGCAUACAUUUGAAUGUAUAAUGAUAUGUUAUACAUUAUUAAUACUGAUAGUCUAUUUGAGAAAAUGAAUGUUCUUUAUGAAUAUCCUCAUACAUAUCUAUGUUACUUACAAUUAUUUAUGUAUGAACAUUGCUCAAUAACAACUCAAACAAAGUGUGAAUACAUUCAUACGCACUCCUUACAGACACCAUCUGCAAAUCAGUAUUAUAAUAUUUUUCCCUUUCCAACUAGUGGUUACUUUGAUUAAAUGUUCAUACCUUCUAAUUAUCACUUAAUUUAGGUUGACCUUAUCCCUGAUAAAGAGCAAGCUGGUCUUGAAGAUUUGGUGAAAGAACAUGGUCCUGUGAUGGUAUCUUUGUUGUUAUUUUUUCAAAACUCUUGCUGGUUUAAUUUACAUCGUAAUACUAUCUUAUUUUGAGACUAUUUUAGUUUCAUUAUACAUUCAUUUGAAUGUAUAACAUUAUGUUAUAAAUAAAAUCAGCACAUCACAAAUACAUAUGCAUUUGUUAUACAUUUCAAUUUCGAAUCAUCAGUAUAUAUUUUUUUAAUUAAACUACGUAUCACUUUGAAUAAGCUUUCAUACAUAAUAAUUGUUAAUGAAUGUAGGAUGAGCAUAAUGCUGCAGAAGAAGCAGGUUGUAUUGAAGAAUUGAAUAUACAACAUAGCCCUGAUAUGAAAUAUUUAGAGGUACUUUUUUGGUUGUUCAUAUUAUUUUUUAACUCAAAACUUACAUGCUUAUACAUUCACACCCAUGCCUAAUACAUAUCAAAUUAUAUAAAAAACUUUUCAUUCACAAUUUUAUGACUUUUCAAAUCACCAUUACAAUUUUUUUUCACUGAACUAUGUCUUACUUUGAAUAAAUGUUCCGACAUUCUACUUAACUCUUAAUUUAGGAUGAGCUUAUGCUCGAUAAAGAGGAAACUAGUGUCGAAGAUUUGGGAAAAGAGCACAGUCAUGUGAUGAUACAUUUCUUGUUAUUUUCUGUUUUACUCCUGCUGAUUUAACACUUCAAAUCUAAAUGCAUAGACUUACGACACAUUACUAUUAAAAAAGGAUCAUAAUAUUCCUAUAUGCAUAUCUAAAAUUUUCAAUUUUCAUUCUACAAUGAUUUAUUUUUGUUUUGUUACUUCGUAUUAUGUACUUCUAUUAUUGGUCUUUAUUAAUUAUAGCUCAUAAUGAAUAUUUAACAGUAUAUGAACUGAUUCUACCUAAGUAUAGUGGAUUAUGUAUAAUGUACAUUGCAAUACUAUCCUAAUUUGGGAAUGUUCCAGCUUCAUUAUACUUUCAUUUAAAUGUAUAACAGUAUGCUAUACAAUCAUACAGAGUAUUAUACAUUCAUAUUCAAUUUUUACAUAUACAGAUUUCAAAUCACCUUAACAUAUUUAUUUUCUUACAUAAUGAUUUUAUUUAAAAUAGUAUGAUCAUAUUGUCGCAAAAGAAUCACGUUGUGCUGAAGAAUUGAACAAACAUCAUAGUACUAAUGUGAAGGGUUUGUAAAUAUUUUUUUGAUAGUUCAUAUGUUGUUUUUUAACUCAAAAACUAUCUACAUAAAUGUAGCUUCUGUUUAGGUAUAAUUAACGUCAUACAUUAAUAUGUUUGCUUUUACACAUAACACAUCAAUAUUUUUUCUGUAGGAUGAUGUCAAUGCCACAAUAAUGGAGUCUGUUCAAGAUGCUUUAGAUGUACUAUUAUUUGAGUUGUCAAUACCAUCAAAUACAAAUAAAUUCAAUGUUGUUACACCAAAUAUAGUGACAAAAAAUGACCACUUUCAGAUAGUCAGUUUCCACCUGAUUUUUCGGAUGCUCAAGUAAGGGAGCUUAAAGCACCAAAACACGUGAAGUCAAAAAAUCACCUGUAAAAAGAGAUCGAAAAAAGUCGAAGAUUUUUAGGUCACCAUACAUCAUAAAAUUUGGAUCGAGCUCUAAAGAUAAGGGCAGUUCUGCUAAUGAAGAGAAGCAAAUGUAUGCUUUUGAUAGUUGUACCAUUUACGAAGAUUUGUCUAAUCAAUUGAUUAGUGAUUAUUCAUAGUGACUUGAAAUUGGGUUACUCAAAUAUCAUGUUUCCAAGUAAGUUAUUUAGAUAGAUUUCUAAAUUAUUAAAAAUAGUACAGAAGAAUAAAUCUUGGAGAAGUCUAAUCCUUGAUUAUGUUACAGGAAACAAACAGACAAUCACUAUCUAAAAAAUGCUCCAGGAUUAGGUUAUUCUUUAUUGGACUUUGUUGUUGCACAAGCACUCUCAAAGAAUUGGUUCUACUUGAUUUCGCAACACGUGUUGGAAUGAUGAGGUAAAUUAAACUAAACUAUAUCAUGCUUCUUUAAACUUUUACUAAAAAUGUACUCAUUAUUACGAAAUAAAUAGAAUCUAAUAUAUGAUUACAUAUCAUACAUGUGGUCUCAUGUAUAACCACAUUUUAAACAUGUCAUGGUAACAGAUCAUACAUUCAUUAUCUUUGUUGAAAACAUAAUAAUAACUAUAACAUAUGACUUUGUUUUAUGAUUACAUAUUAUACAUGUGGUAUGAUAUAUAAUCACAUUUUAUACAUGUUAUGUUAACAGAUCAUAUACUCAUGUUCAUGACCAAUACAUAAUAAUAACUAAAAUAUAUGCCUUAGAAUCAGUUGUAUGGUUAAAUAUCAUACAUGUUGUGUGAUUUAUAAUCACAUCAUAUAAAUGUAAUGAUACUAGAUCACUAAUUCAAGUUCUUAAGCAAUACAUACUAAUAACUAAACAUAUGCAUUUUUAUUUCAGUGUUUAACAUAAUCUUACCCUUUUUAACAUGUAGCACUUAGAUGUGAUAUUCUACCAUUUGACAAAAAAAUCAAAGUUGCAACAGUGUGAUACAUAUAGAUAUACGAAAAUCAGCUGCUUCUUCAAAACAUAUAUUGAAAAGACAUACGAACGAUAUUUUCCAACAGUUAAAGCAGAGCAGAUAUCCACGCAAGAAAACUACGUAAAAUUCGUUGCUUGUUCUUCAAAUGAAAUUGAUAUAACAAAUAUAAUUAAUGGAUUCUGUAAUCCUGCGAAUUUACCAUGGCAUUUGGUUGAUGAGGUAUAUGUUCCUGUUAACUGUGAAAAAGAAUAUCACUGGGUAUUGACUGUAAUUGUGUUAAAGAAAAGAACGGUACGUGUGUAUGAUUCAUCGUCAAGCAAAAGAAAAAAUGAACCACCAAUCGAAAUACGAAAUUAGCAGCCAUGCUGCGUACUUACUUGUCGGACAGUGAUGUUUUUCAAAAGACUGAAAGAAUUGACUGGUCAACACUUAAAGCGUACGAAGGGAAGCUUGGUCUGCAAACUGGAGAGAUAAGUCACAACCCAUUUGAUAUUGAAUACGCCAAAAACAUUCCACAACAAGCGUCUGAUAGUUUGUAAGUGUCUUUUACUUUUUAAAUUUUAACAUAUAUAAUCAUGGUAAAUUAGUUAAAGGAAUGGUUCUUUCAUUUUUUUAAAAUAUCAGGGACUGCGGGGUCUUCGUGGCUGCAUAUGCAGAAAUAUUGAGUGAAGGGCAGCAAGUCCAUUCAUGUGAGUUUGAAGGUUGCAAGUCAACGUGCAUGAUAUGCUUCGUUACUAUGGCAUUACGGAGUGAUGAAGACAAAGAAAGGUUAUACGAGUGAUAUUGACGAUCCUCCUCGGCCAAAAAAUACUUUUGUCCAAUCACCUGAUGAAAGUGCAAUUGUUACUUUGGAGUAGCUCCUUCUAAAAAUAUUCUAAUUGCUUUUUUAGUUGUUUCUGCUAAAUAGUUAUACACAGUAAUAUUUUUUUGAAUGUUGAUUUUUACGCAACAUUAUAUGGGUGGCAGUUUUUGUUCUACUACAUUUACAUUUACAUAAACUCUAUUGUGCUUAUUCUAUAUUGUUUGUUAAUUAGUCACUUUGCCAAACAUAAUAUUACCAACACUGUAUAACAACAAUUUAUAUAUUAAUGAAUUAUAUAUAGGUAAAACAUUGUGUUUUUUUCCAGCAUUAAAGAAGUUAAUAUUAUAUUAUGAGUUAAUUAUACAUUGAACAAGUAUCAAUUUAUUUUUGAUAAAUUUAUUAUAUAACAUCAUACACGUUGACACUCUUUCAUUGCUGAAUUGAAAACAGCUAUGGCAUUCAAAAAAAUUUAAGAAGAAUAACAGCAGAUCGUAAAUUCUAAACAAACAAAAUGUAUUAGUCAUUUGACGUAAUACUGAUAAGAAAAUAAGAAAAAGUUUUAAUACCAUACAUACAUCUUAAUGUAUAAUCUAUACUCUUAACACAAAAUUCUUUGCUUUAUAUUUUGCUAGUUCUUAUGUUUUUUAAAAUCAUUUACUUUAAUAUCAUACAUGUUGUUAAUGUAUAAUAGUAUAGAAUACAUAAUAUAUAUAAGACAGGUUAAUGUUAAAUAUAUUAUACAUUAUAACUACAUAUUACUACGUUACAAUAAUGAGCAGUAAAGUCACAAAAUAUAAUAAUUCAAAACUGUAUUAUUUGGUUGCGAAAAUAUCAAACAUUAAGUAAUAAUUAAACAUCACAUAACAGUUAAAAACAUAAAAUAAACUUUAACAAGUAUCAACAAAAUAAAAAAAAAUGAUGUUCUGUAGUUAUAACCAAACGAACAAUUAGCAUUUAGAACAACAAAAUAAAAUCUGUAACUUUUUUUGGGGAAGAAACCUCACGUCCUAUGGUUGUGGCCUGCACGCCUGCAUUUACUGUAAUGAUUUGAACUUAUAAGUGAUUCACUAGAUUUCAAAUGCCUUCCUUUCUUUGGCCUCCUAGGAGGUCUUUUGUAUUUGGGUGGCAAAACUUCGUCGGCAUCAACAAAAUGUGAAACAAUCCAAUCUUUCAUCUCUGGCAUAGGAACUAUGGGGAGUUCAUAUGUCUUGACAAUGGUGUUUGGCCUGUACAAUUCUGAACAGUAACGUCCAUACUCUUUUAAAUCAAUAUUUAUACUCUUCAAAAUGCUAUUGCGUGUGCACAUGAAAUUUCAUCAAUUUGAUACCGACAACAGUUACACGUGUCAUGAUCAAUAUCAAUAAUGUACCUCCUUCCUGAUUCAUACACACAGUACAGAUAACUACCAGCAGCCUUAACCUGUUAACAAUGAUUAAUUUUAUACAGUAAAAAAUAUAUAAAUUAAUAACAAAUAUAAAGUAGAUUCAACUAUCAUAAUACAUACCAUCAUCCGUAAUGACUUAACUCCAUUAUCAGUUAGAAUUUCUUGAAAUCUUCUCCCAAACGUUGUGUUUGUAUAAGAUGCAAUUUCACUGUUCUUACAAUUCCAUGCAGCGAAUAGAAUCUUAACUUCUUCAAGGAAAUCUAAAAUAGGAAGUACUCUAGCCUCUACCAAACAACAGUUAAUACAUUCAACUAUAUUAGAGGUCAUCAUUCUACCUUUAUUAAUAGGAGAGUGACAUCGAGAUCAUUUAUCAUAUCCAGCUUUUUCCAGAUAUUCCUUAACCCUUGGAUCAACCUUUUCAACCUUUGACACAAUGUAAUCAAAAUUUUCUUUUCUAUACGCUUUAGCCAUGGAAUAAUAAAGGUCACUAAGUCUAUCUUUGCUUUUUCUAAAAUAUUUAUAAAUAUUUUUUCAUAAAUGUCAAAUACAUGCAAGAUGGGGGACAUUAGGAUAAACAAUGCUCUCGCCCUUUAUGAUACACUCAUUUCGAUCCGAUACAACACACAUAUUGUCCCGUUUUCCAAAUGCUUCUUUAAAUUGAUGAAAAAAUUAAGUCCACGCAUUGUCAUUUUUUGAAUUCACAACACCAUAAGCUAAUGGAAGAAUACAUCCUAAACAAAAACAAACAAACAAAUUUAUAUGUAUAGUUCUAUAAUAUGUGUACACCACUGAACAGGUUUCUAAUUAUUUUACAUUUAAGUAAUACAUGACAUCAUACAUGUUGUCCCACCUUUAUCACUUAAUUGAAAACAAGUACAAAUAUAUAACAUCACACAUUUUAAUAACGUAUAACAAUACAUCAUACAUUGUAAAAAUACUGCUAGGAAAUUAUACAUUUAAUUAUUAGUAAAUGUAUGAGACAUUAAACGUAAAAUUGACAAGAAAAUAUUGAUAUUUUACAACAUCAUACAUACACCAUAACGUAUAAUCGCUAAUCAUACACAUAUCACACAAAUCAAAAUCUACUUAAGUUUUACUUAUUCUGUUUUAAAAUGAAAAUGCAAUUUAUAGAGUUGUUUAAACAGAAAGUAGCAUCUACUUUAUAAAAAAAAUUAAUAACACAAAAUAAAAGGCAUAAAAUCAGCUACUUGGUGAAGUACUAUAUGUACUCACUAAGCAAGUCCAAAUUUUAUUAUACAUACAUGGGCAACAUACAAUCAGCUAUAAUUCAUGCACAAUGCUGAAAUAUCAAAGAUGAAAAUUUUAAAGUAUGAUACCUGCACCAUCAAGAGUGCUCGCUGAUACAAACGUUCCUUGAUAUGGCCCGAUUAAAUGAGCACCAUCUACAACUACUAUUGGAUGGCAAAAUUUGAACCUCCUAAUCAUUGGAUGUAAGGCAAUAAAUAAGUAUUUAAACUCGUUAUCUAAUGUCUUAUCCAUCCGAAUGUAUGAUCCAGGAUAUACCUGGUUCAACAUAUAUAUAUAACGGGGCAUUUUUCGAUAUCCAUCAGCUGGUCCACCUCUAAGAAUCGCAAUUGCCUUUUCCUUUGCCCGUCAAGCCAUCAUGUAGUUAAUAUCAACACCAUAGACGACCUUCAUCUCUUCAAUUAUGUCUGUCGGUGUAUGUAUUCUCUUGUAAUUAAUUAACUUUGGUGCAGUAAAUUCACUGACAAAGGCUGUUGUUGCAACCAAAUUAUUCAGUAUUCUAUCACUCAGACUGCAAUUAUGUUUCGAAUCAAAUAUCUUUAUCGCAAAAAUUUCCGAAUGAUUCAUCGAAUAUGCCUUUAGAACACAUUUGCAAUCUUUGACACGGCAGUGUAACACAUAGCUGCAGUUACAUUUUAAAACAUGUUGUCAAUUUAUUAACGUACAUAUAAAUUCAAUAAUUUAAGUCAAAAUACCAUAAUUAAAUUGUUAUAGUUUUAUUAUACAUUCGAAUGAAUGUAUAAUGGCAUAUUAUACAUUGUAAAUAAAACUCCAUUUUGUGCAAACAGCAAAACCAGAAAUUGAAGUCAACAAUGAAACUCCAUUACCAAAGGCUAUUACAACACAACAACAUCCUUCACAACAUCUACAAAUAAAAAAUGAUAAUUUAUUUCAUACCUUUGUUUGUCAGAUCAUUUAGUAAAGGUGUUGAAGCCAUUCGAUAUCGCAUAUUUCGCCAUAACCGAUACCAAAGUUUGCUUAUCCUUAUAACGCUGGUUAACUUUUAUUUCAGUGUUCUUCAAAUUCCAGAACGUAUAAUGAAUAUUGAUUCUGAGUUUCAACAACAGUUAAAGCAACUGAAUCAGAUUCACUACCUUCAAUACACAUUACAACCCCAGUUUUACUAUCAAACUCGAUAUCCUUAAUCGAUUUAUUGAAAGUUUGUAUACAUAGCGAAAAAUUUAUAAUUCCAGAACCUUGUUUCUUCAACUCAAUAUAAACCUUCACUCCAUUAUCAUUUCUUAUGAUAAUUGGAGAAGAAUUACCAUCAACGAUGUAUUUUACUUCAAUUUUUUUCGUACAUCGUCAAUACCCAAUUCCAUCAUGAUUUUCGCAAUCAAUUUCAAAAAGUUAAUACUUUCUGAAAUAACAAUGGCAUCACUUUUGUAUGCUUUAAAACUUAUUUCUGCCUCCCAUACACCAGAAUGACGCAAACAUAUUGGGAUGUUCAUCUUUUUUCUCACAAGAAAUCACGAACAAAAUUUUUUUUCUUCCGAAUCGUAAAUCAAAAAAGAAGUCAAUUAGAGGUAAAGUUUAAGAGUUUUUUUUUUAAAUUCAAAUAUCAGUUACUAUUUUAACUCAUACAAUAAUUAACAUCAGGUAAUUAAAUAGCGUAAUUUAAGAAGUAGGGAUACAUUUACUAAUUCUCAAUCUCAUAAUUUUAGGUUAAUCAGAUUUAUGAUACAUUCAACGAACGUAUAACUACCAUCCGAAUGUAUGACAAUAUUUUACAAAAUAAGGAGAGAGAAAAUUUCAAGGGAGAUUAUGUAAAUAGUUUUACUUUAUGCGAUAUAUAUAUAUAUAUAUAUAUAUCUAUCUAUAUAUAUAUAUAUAUAUAUAUAUAUAUAUAUGUGGUUUAUACCGUCUAGAAAUGGUGGUGCAAAUAUACUCUUCGAUAUAGUCAAAUGUUUAGACUUAAAUGACGUAUUCAAUGACUCUUUUAGUGUACUAUCAAGUUUAAAUAAGAGGCCAGGACAAUCUCGUCAAUUUUCUUUAAAACUCGAGAAAAGUCUUCCAGAAAAUGACCUAACAAUACAACAAAAAAAAUUCUUCUUUCCUUGCUCUAAUAGAGUUUACAUUAUAUAUACAUUGAUGGCAUAAAAUAUUCAUAUAUUAUCAAUUCAUCUUUAAAAUGUUUAUAAUUAUUUAACUGCAUUUAUUUUUAUUACGUCUAAAAUGAUGAAAAUUUUAAUGAUGUUUUCCAUAGAAUCAGUCAGAAAAUGUCCGACGAGCCAAACUUCAACGAAUUUUCGAUCGGACACUAAAAAAGAUUUUCAUAUGACAAUUUUGUUCCACAAUAGGAUGUUUCUUGGGCACCGGCCGAUAUUUGUUACAUAUAACAACUUAAUUAUCUGCACACUGAUCUUUUAUGGUUAUUUACAAAUUGUAUAAAGGAAAAUUAUCUGUUCGAAUUUCGUAUAUGUAAAAAUAAAGAUCUUUUGUAUAAAGAACUUACGACGAAAGAUAAGAUUAUAAAAGAGUGCAAAACCAAAUCUUUCUUAUAAUUUAUUGCUAAUCUUUGUCAAGAUUAACAAUUAUGAAUUAGCGAAGAAUCUUGUUAUUUAGCUAAUAAUUAAUCCGUCCAUCGUUGUUUUCUAGCACUGAUAUUCGAGUUUUAAUAUCGUCCAAUUUGUAAUUAUUCCCCCCGUCUUCUCUAUCGAUCGAUGAGAUGGCUGCAACUGAACAAUUGACACCAUUAAAAUUCAAUGAGACACCAAUACAUCUCAUAGGCUAAGUCCCUUUUAUGCUCCGAAGGACGAUCACUUUGUCUAUGACUACCUUUCUAUACUUCAAACCGUAUGCUAAUUGCUUCCUAUUACAUGGUAUGAGACUUGUAAGAGUGACUCCUGCACCUAACUCAACCAAAAGCUAGAUCAUGGGGGAGGGGAUUGUCCAAUUACAUAUAAGUAAAUCGUCAGUCCAUUCUCCAAUUUAUAAUGUGAAACUUUCACCACUCUUAACAAGAUUGAUUUAAUGCAAGUUAUGAUUUAUUUACAAAUUUGUUCAGGAAAUUCCUACAUAUUAGAACUUAUUCCAGAAAUAUUCCACAACAACAAUAAUAACAUAUAUACUCAGUAAAUUUUCAUAAGUGGGGUUUAGAAAGUACAGUGUAAGUUGAUCUUACUACUAUCUCAUGGAGGUAGAGAGAUUCUUUCUAAAGAACCCUUGGCUAAGUGUACCAACUCCAAGUUAAAAAAAAAAAAAAAGAAACAAACAGUAAAAAAUUUUAUGGAUUAAUAAGUAAAGCAACGCAAAGCCUACAAAAAAGGAAGAAUAACAACAAGAAGCUAGAUAAUAAGAAAAAAUAUUUAAUUAGGUAAAGACCAUAGAAUAGUUACUUUAAAAUAAGAGGAAAAUUGAACUUUAUAGAAACAUUUUUUGUUCAACACAAUAUCAUAUGUAUUGAGUAUCAUACAGAACAUUACAUGACCAUGACCAACCAUCCAUUGGAACACUAUUGAAUGGCUUUAUUCAUACAAGUAAAAGUUCUAAAGUAGCAAGAUUUUUAUGGUCUUUGCCACUUACAUAACAAAGCAUUACAUUAAUAAUACAUAAUGAAGCACUAAUUAAUUAGUUCUGAGGUUUAGAUCCAGUGUCUUUUUCCAUGGCCUUAUAUUCUUCAUAGGUGCAGCAAUGUCCAUGGCAUUUAUAAUGACAUUUUUUAGGUUUAUAUCCACCAUCAACUUCUACUUCCUGCUGUGAUUCAGUGGCUUUUUCCAUGGCCAUAUAUUCUUCAUAGGUGCAGCAAUGGCCAUGGCAUUUAUAAUGACAUUUUUUCUUAGGUUUAUAUCCACCAUCAACUUCUACUUCCUGCUGUGAUUCAGUGGCUUUUCCCAUGGCCAUAUAUUCUUCAUAGGUGCAGCAAUGGCCAUGGCAUUUAUAAUGACAUUUUUUCUUAGGUUUAUAUCCACCAUCAACUUCUACUUCCUCGUGUGAUUCACUGGCUUUUCCCAUGGCCAUAUAUUCUUCAUAGGUGCAGCAAUGUCCAUGGCAUUUAUAAUGACAUUUUUUCUUAGGUUUAUAUCCACCAUCAACUUCUACUUCCUCGUGUGAUUCACUGGCUUUUCCCAUGGCCAUAUAUUCUUCAUAGGUGCAGCAAUGGCCAUGGCAUUUAUAAUGACAUUUUUUUUUAGGUUUAUAUCCACCAUCAACUUCUACUUCCUGCUGUGAUUCAGUGGCUUUUUCCAUGGCCAUAUAUUCUUCAUAAGUGCAGCAAUGUCCAUGGCAUUUAUAAUGACAUCCUUUGUGUCCUCCACCUUUAUUAUAAUGGUCACCUCCAACACCAUCAACGUCUACUUCCUUCGCUGCUGCAUCGAUGAAUUGAGAAUAUUAAAACUUAUGCAUAUGCAUGUACUCACGACUGAUCUUUGAAUUGAAAUUUCAAUUUAUGUGUAGUACUUUUCAUUUCAUUUCGUUAUAGUUUAAGAUAAUUCCUCUUACUAUUAUAUAUAUUUAAAUAAAUUCUUAGUUUCAAUAUAAUAUGUUUAAAUAUUUUGAAUUGAAAUUUCAAUUUAUGUGUCGUACUUUUUAUUUUAUUUUGUUAUAGUUAAGAUAAUUCCUCUUACUAUGAUACAUAUUUAAAUAAAUUUUUAGUUUCAAUAUGAUAUGUUUAAAUCUACAAGAUUCAAAGGAUAUUUUAGUAUGUUCUAAACACAAUUUAGUUUUGUUUAGCAAGGAUUGAGAAGUUUAUGCUAUAUUCUUUAAAUUCAGGCAUAGUAACUGAGAAGCAUAAGGAAUAUAUAUUAAGUGUCAUGAUCAAGCUAGUGUUAGUAAAACAUUAGGUUAUCAUCUCACAUUUAUAAAAACUUACAAAUUUUAGUUUGUGGUCUAAUCUCAGAAACAACUUCUCUAUCUUGCAAAGAUUGGAGUAACAUCAACUUACAUAUUCUAUAUAUCUUCCGUAGUCUCUACUUAUGAGAUUACACUGAAGAUAUAGUGUGUGAUUUAAUUUUAAAUUUUCAUAAAAUUUUCAGAAUGCUCACAUUGAAUAUAAUUUUAAACAGUGGUUUAAAAGUUCUAUUAAGUAGCAUAAACAAUAAAAAGAUGACCAUUUACUAAAAGGAAAAGCCGAUUAAAAUAAGAUAUUAUCUUCAAUUAAAUGCUAGGAGUAGAACCUGUUAAAAUACUAAUAGCAUUUCACAUGCUGGACAUAUAUUUACUAUGUCACUAAAUUAAGAGCGAUAAAAAACGUGUAAAGUAAUGGAUAAAGAUAUGUUAAUAUGGCUAACGUAGUAACAUCAAUAGGUUUUUUUUUUUUUUUUUUUUUUUCCGAAUGAAUUCAAUUACGUAAAAAGAUAAUGAAAGAUAAUACUUAC